AAUUUUGGACAAUGGGGGAAACCCUGAUCCAGCCAUCCCGCGUGUAUGAUGAAGGCCUUCGGGUUGUAAAGUACUUUUGGCAGAGAAGAAAAGGUAUCCCCUAAUACGGGAUACUGCUGACGGUAUCUGCAGAAUAAGCACCGGCUAACUACGUGCCAGCAGCCGCGGUAAUACGUAGGGUGCAAGCGUUAAUCGGAAUUACUGGGCGUAAAGCGUGUGUAGGCGGUUCGGAAAGAAAGAUGUGAAAUCCCAGGGCUCAACCUUGGAACUGCAUUUUUAACUGCCGAGCUAGAGUAUGUCAGAGGGGGGUAGAAUUCCACGUGUAGCAGUGAAAUGCGUAGAUAUGUGGAGGAAUACCGAUGGCGAAGGCGGCCUUCUGGCCUUUGUCUGACGCUGAGGCACGAAAGCGUGGGUAGCAAACAGG
rnacentral:rRNA from 1 species